GCGGACGUGGCGGAAUGGUAGACGCAGGGGACUUAAAAUCCCUUGGGCAUGGCCCGUGCGGGUUCGAGUCCCGCCGUCCGUACCA
rnacentral:tRNA from 1 species